rnacentral:lncRNA from 1 species
AAUAAUAUUAAACAAUGAAUCUCCCAUUGGUUCACAAAGUAUGCAAUUUUUCUCUCAACUGAAAUGACAACCACAUUUUGUCAGCGAUAUUUGGUUAAUGGAGCACCAACAAAUCUCCUAGAGUAUUUCAUUUGGAGGUUAAAGGGAAUAAGAAUAAAGGAUGUAAAAUAACCAGUGACACCUUAGCUCUCACUACACACUUGGCAAACAAAUACAUUAGGUGACUACUGAUUAUCUGUAGCUAAAUCUUAUCUGAAGUACAACCAAGAUGAACAGAAACAUUUCACCUCACUUUUGGUGGAAAAAUACUCUUCUCUGAUUGAUCAUUCAGUUACACAGUGAUCCGCUUAACACAUCGCAGGUUGAUCUGCAAUCACAUAAGCAAGCAUUUGCAUUAGAACAAAAGGAAGAAUGAAAUGUUUGAUCUUUCAUAUGGUACUAUUGAUCCUAGAGCAACGCUAAAUAGGAGAUUAGUAACACACAUCACUCUCCCGGCAAGAAGCAGCUCUCCCGGCAGUAACACGCAUCACUCUCUCGGCAGAAGGUGACUCUUCUUCAGAUUGUUGACCAUAUUCAUUAUUCACAAUAACGAAGUACAACUCCAAAUCAGAAAGGUCGUCGAUAAUGCUGAGCAUGGAAAGGUUUCUGUAGUUACCAUUAAUGUAAUCAAUGAGUACCAACUAUUGCUUGAUGCAUAUAUAAACAAUCAGAAGGUUGUCUACCUAGAUUUCUUCCUACCCAACUUUCCUUUAUCAGCAAGGAGGAACUGUUUUUUUCAUAUAUAAACAAUAAGCAGGUGACCUAAUGGACUAUGCAACCCAUAGAUUAAUUAUGCAAGAAGUUACCAUUCCUAUAAUUAGCAAGCAUCAAUCAUUGUUUGGUGCAUCUACAAACAAUGAGGAGGCGGUCUAAUUCUGGAGCACAUAGAUUAAUUAUCUGUGUAGUCAGACUUCCUCUGUUAGGAAGCAGCAACUACUACCCGCCGCACAUAUUUCUCCCAAAUCACUAACCUGAACAGGUAUUACAGUACACUGAAAAUUGGGCACACCCUACAGACAUGGAUAUGAACCAAAAUGCAUAUAUCUCUCCCAAAGCACUAAACAGGAAGCAAACCACCAGGGAAACCAUAAGUACAUAUGGCCAGCCAUAUCUUAUGAAGGUAUCCUAUGCUACAAAGACACAAUACCCAAAAAGACAUUUGGAUUGCAGUGCAGCCUCACAAUUGAAGCCGAAAACAUCAAAGAUUAAGCAUGUCAAGAGUGCACAUUUUUAUCGGAUAGAAUCUCACUUGAAGGCGUGACAACAUGUUUCCUUGCACAACAUAGGUCAAUCCACAACCAAAAUGAACCAAAUGUUCACAAUAUCCUUUCUUGUAUGCAUCAAGCAGAAUUCAAAAUCUCAUGGAGGUUCUGUACCAUUUGCCUUUGGCCACCACCUGGACAGUACACAACCAAAUUUAGCUGAAGUUUAUAAUAAACAUGCAUGCAACGAUAGCAGCCUAUAUUAAUUUUAUACCUGGCUUACAGGAAACCAGAAGCUAUGUACUGGCAAUUAACCAGAAAAGGAGGAGAAAUUCAGAAAAAUCUAGUAUGUAACCUAGUUUAACAAUGCUUAUAUCCCCAAUCCAAGCUCUACAUAUUUCAGCUCACUAAUGCUUACAAAAAAUAAAAAAUAGUACCCUCAUUUUGGAACUUGAAUCUGCAAACAUGGUGUCUAACUAAAAAUCAGAGUCAUGGUUAAGAUAAAGGAGCACCUCUGGAACGAGAGCGGUGGCUAAAAGCAUCAGACCACCAAAACAUCCCAUAGCACACAGUCCAACAGCGAACCAUCUCCUGAACCUAAUUAAGUAAUGUAUAUAUGAAUCUAAACUACAUGACAUAAGCUGAAGAACAACACGAGCAUGCAGAUCCAACUCUGUGAAUUUGCAAACAAAAGGCCCAAAAAAUUCACCUCCAGAUGAGGUCUCCGAGAAGCAUAAAGUCGCCAUCCUUGUCUCCGUUCCGCUCACCGCCACGAGACUCAUCUCCUCGUACCCACCCUGCAUCCAAGAGCCAAAUCGUCAGAAACCCACCAGAAGAACAACACAUAACAUGCUCGUCUCUGCUGCUAUUGAGUACAUGAACAGGAUAUGUUCUUGGCUGCAAACUAUUAACUUUUUAGGAAUUUUAAGCAACAUUAUAGAAGCUGAAAUACAACCAGAUCUAUUUUAACAAUAGGUUUAUGAGAUUAUGGUGUGCCUUUUCUUAUCUAUCUGUCACAAUAUAUUAUAUAAUGGGUACAUGCUAUCUGGAACAUGAAAGACAAGGGAAAAUUAAAAGGGUCAACUGUUAUACAAUACAUAUGUACCCAGAGCCAUUAACUUAAAAGGGUCAAUAUAUUUUCUACACUAUGCUUUGUGAAAUUAACUCUUUUAUGUACCUCCCUCACAAACAUUCACGGUUACCAAAUCUAGAUGAUUUUUAUUUGAACUUUUAGAACUGAAUACCAAGAGCAUACAUGCCUCUUACUUUGCAACCUUAGCCAAACAUAGUGGAGAGAAUACGAGGAGUGCUGUAUAGGAAAAAAAUUAAGUUAAUAGCUGUCCCUGCAGUUUCCAUCAGAUUAACAUUAAAACUCAUCAAAAAGUAAGGAAUAGCGAGCCAAAUGUGAAUUGUAUUACAACACAAGGUUUUAAAUUGUGCGGUCCGAUAAAAAUGAAGUUAAAUGAUGUGUGCCCUAUGGUAUGCAGACUGUUUCAUCCUUAGAAAUUGUAAUGCAAAAUCAGGCUGUCUGCUAGCAUAAAGGUGGCUUUUAAAUAUUAGAAUGCCACUUCAAAGUUGAAGUAAGUAUGAACCCACAGAAAAUCACCACUACCCAACCAUAAACAGAGAGGAAGUAAUAUGAGCUGAGAUCUUCGAUGGCAUAAAAAAAUUUAGAGCAUAUUUGACAUAUCAUUUUGAAGUUAAAAAUAGCAAAUAAGCUACAGCCAAGAAAGAACACAUUAAGUAGCUAGAGAGUAUACACUACUUUCUAAUAGGAAAGAAGGUAAUUUACCCGGCAAGGUAUUGUCACUGAUUCCAACAUGAAAGAACAAAGAAACCUGGGAUAAUCCCAACCACAUCUGUCCAUACAAAAAACACAAGUCAAUACACCAAAGGCAUGCCCAAUACAAAAGGAGCAACACGAUAGGCAUCAUAAAAAGUACCUGUGAAACGCUCAGGCGUGUUUGUAGGCCUUGGGAGCUGAUUAAUUGGAGUCAGGACAUAGGUGCAGAAAGGAAAUUCUGCUUCUAGACCCUCCCAUCACGCAACAGUUGUAUACCUAGUGAACUUAAUCAUGUAUUGACUCUCCACCAGCCCGAAGACAUACUUCUUGAGAAAGACCAGAAACUUGCGACAGAUCAUCAACCCACACUCUUGGGGGACACAUAUAAAUUGGUUAACAAAUUUCUCAGGCAUCUCUGCAUACAUAUGGUUACCCUGCGAGGAAAAGAGUAUGGUUCAACACAGGAGAAAUAACAGACCAUUAAAUAACAGGACAAGAAAGACAGGAAACCAGAUCAAAGAAUACAUGUACCUGCAUCUAGUAUAACCACAUCCAUCUCCUUGAUAGGUCCAUUUUCGGUUCCACCAUGGUGAUGCCACAGACGUGAUAUGCACACACAGGGUAUGCUAGAGCGAGUUACACGGACGCACUUCAGACAGUGCAUUGAAUGUUAUCUACAACAAAUAGAAAAUGCAAAAAAAUGCAAAGACUAAUCAGAGCAGGCCAUGGUCUAGCAAUCAUGAUAAGCACAUAACAUAUUGUACAGACCCAAAUAUAAUCAAAGGCAGCAUGCCAACACACACAUCAAAGAAAGACACACCACAUGUAAUCGCGACAAUAAAGGUAAAUAGUGAUCCUACCUCCUAAGUAGGAUCAAUUAGUUCAUCACAUCAUUAUACCAAGAGCACACACACACUGGCAAAUCAUCUAAAAGGCUGAUCCAACAAAAGAGGGUACACAGUGCAGAAGAACGAGGCCAGCAAAAGAGGGUCCUUGCACAAUAAAUAGCAAUAGAACCGACCAACAAUCCUGGAAAUAAGAGUAAGUACUAAAUUUGCAGGCAAUGAAAUAGUCACAUUUGUAACGAUUGUCCAUAGAUUUGUCUUAAUUGAUCAUAAUCCAUUGCACUCCUGACACUAAACAAAUUCGUAACCGCUCUUUUCCGAGAUAUGAUGUUGUGAAUAUAAUUAACCUUCAUAAGAAAGAAAUAAUUUCUAGCCUAAAAAUAGCUCACGGCCAACACUGUCCAUCACCACUGUUAACCUUCAAGAAUAACAGGACAAUAUAAUUAAUCCUUGAGGCAAAGAACGAAAUCAGAGACUAACCCAGACCAACAAUUAAUCUUAAUUAUACUAACCAGCCAUGCAAUCAAUCCUUAAGCUAAAGAACUAAAUCAGAGACCAACCCAGGCCAACAAUCAACCCUCAAGCCAAACACUCGAACCAAGAAAUUUGGGACACAUUUUAGCCUUACAUAAUUCAGCGUGCAGUGAAUCCUAAAGACAAAGAACCAAAUCAGAGACUAACCCAGUGCUCUUUUUCUAAUCAACCAUGUGACCUAUCCAUUCCUGUGAUUACAUUGCUAAGCAAGGACCAAAUUAAUCUAGCACUUGAGGACAAUACUCUAAUACAAACAACUGCACCCACAACAGGCAUAGACCACCCAUGUUCUUAACCAACCAUGCAACCUCACUGACCGCCAAGGCAAACAAUUAAGAAAGGACCAAUGAAAACAAAUCAACAAUGACACCAUCUAAGAAUCCAACAACAGAAGCCCACGAAUAACCUGUUCCCCACCUCUCUUUUGCAAGGCCUAAUCGAUUACAGACAAAUCCAGCCCCUGAAAAUAGUACAUUGAUUCCAAGAACGUCAGAACCACACCUACAGCAACACAGAUUGUCUUAUAUUUUCCCAACCAACUUGUCAGAUGUCCAACCCCGAAGAUAAACGGACAAGGAAGAGCUUGGGUUAACCAAUCCAUUCAGGCAGACAAUUUCCAAGAACAGAGCCCAUGCACAAUCCAUCUCAUCACCUUCACCUAACAAGCUCCAAUCAAGCACCUAAGAAUGGCUCCUAAACCCACUGAACAGCAACCACGAAAGGUACAAUCCGUUAAAUUAACCAGGCAUGUGAUUCAUGCAACUAAUCCUUAAGAAAAAGAACUAAAGCAGGUACUAACCCGAAUGGCAACAAAUCUGCGUCAUAUUCUAACCUAAUGUAAUCCAACAAUUAAUCAUCAAGAGAAACAC